rnacentral:rRNA from 1 species
ACUCGUAGACUCCUACGGGAGGCAGCAGUGGGGAAUAUUGCACAAUGGGCGGAAGCCUGGAUGCAGGAACGCCGCGUGCGGGAUGACGGGCCUUCGGGUUGUAAACCGCUUUACGCCCUGUGACGAAGCGUGAGUGACGGUAAUGGGUAAAGAAGCACCGGCUAACUACGUGCCAGCAGCCGCGGUGAUACGUAGGGUGCGAGCGUUGUCCGGAUUUAUUGGGCGUAAAGGGCUCGUAGGUGGUUGAUCGCGUCGGAAGUGUAAUCUUGGGGCUUAACCCUGAGCGUGCUUUCGAUACGGGUUGACUUGAGGAAGGUAGGGGAGAAUGGAAUUCCUGGUGGAGCGGUGGAAUGCGCAGAUAUCAGGAGGAACACCAGUGGCGAAGGCGGUUCUCUGGGCCUUUCCUGACGCUGAGGAGCGAAAGCGUGGGGAGCGAACAGGCUUAGAUACCCUGGUAG